GCUGGUCUUGAACUUGGGAUCCUCCUGCCAUAGUCUUCUGAGUUUCUGGGAUCACAGAAACCACUAAGAUUGCAGAAAUCCUUUAUCCACCUUCACAGUGGUCAUAAAAAAUAAAUGCCAAGAGGCCUGGACUUUAUCCUUUACUAUUCAUUAGAUUUAUAACCCUGGGAAACAUAAUCAGCAUGAAAAUACUGGUCAAAGCUUCCACAGCCUGUCCUGGGGAAUCUGAUCCUGAUGUUCCUGCAAUCAAGAUUCAGUGGACUUUCAUCAUAGAAGAACUCAAAUAUUUAGAAGAACUAAACGCAAUUAUUUUAUUUGUCUGAACUAAUACUUUAUACAGGAACAAAGCUGAAGAUACAGCCUUCAGUGAGUCUUCUAUAGACUUUUCAAAAAAUGAGGCUCAAGAAUGUUUAUGAACCACCAUAUAACCCAGCUAUCCCACUCCCUGCUAUUUAUCCAAAAGAACUAAAACCAGCAUACUUUAGCAAUAGUUACUUCAAUGUUUAUAACAGCACAAUUCAAAAUAGCCAAAUUAUGGAAUCAACUCAGAUGCUUGUCAAUAGAUGAAUGGAUCAAGAAAAUGUGGUAUAUACAAUAAUGGAGUUUUACU